UUCCUUCUGGUCAAUGAGGCUGUUACACCUGAUUGACUGGAAGGAAUCCCUCCCAAUCGAUGAGGGCUGUUACACCUUGUCAAUUGGAAGGAAUCCCUUCUGGUCAAUGAGGUGUAGCAGCCCUCAUUGACCGGGAGGGA
rnacentral:miRNA from 1 species